AUGAAUGUCUUUAGCAGCUUUCCCCUGGCGUCCUUCUGUUGGGUAGGAGCUGAGGUCCCACAGCAGGCUGCAGAGCUGCAAUUUAGUUUUCUUAAGGUC